AUUGCAGAACACAUUGAACAUCAACAUCUUGAACGCAUAUGGCGGCCUCGGGUCCAUCCCGGGGCCACGCCCGUCUGAGGGUCGGCG
rnacentral:rRNA from 1 species